rnacentral:tRNA from 1 species
GCAUCAGUGGUUCAGUGGAGAGAAUGCUCGCCUGCCACGCGGGCGGCCUGGGUUCGAUUCCCGGCUGAUGCA